rnacentral:rRNA from 1 species
GAUGAACGCUGGCGGCGUGCCUAAUACAUGCAAGUCGAGCGAACAGACGAGGAGCUUGCUCCUCUGACGUUAGCGGCGGACGGGUGAGUAACACGUGGAUAACCUACCUAUAAGACUGGGAUAACUUCGGGAAACCGGAGCUAAUACCGGAUAAUAUAUUAAACCGCACGGUUAAAUAGUGAAAGACGGUUUUGCUGUCACUUAUAGUUGGAUCCGCGCCGCAUUAGCUAGUUGGUAAGGUAACGGCUUACCAAGGCAACGAUGCGUAGCCGACCUGAGAGGGUGAUCGGCCACACUGGAACUGAGACACGGUCCAGACUCCUACGGGAGGCAGCAGUAGGGAAUCUUCCGCAAUGGGCGAAAGCCUGACGGAGCAACGCCGCGUGAGUGAUGAAGGUCUUCGGAUCGUAAAACUCUGUUAUUAGGGAAGAACAAAUGUGUAAGUAACUAUGCACGUCUUGACGGUACCUAAUCAGAAAGCCACGGCUAACUACGUG